rnacentral:siRNA from 1 species
UGAGAUUCAGCCCUUUGUCGC